rnacentral:lncRNA from 1 species
CUCCCCGACAUUGGCCACCCACCCGGCCAGCUGGAGAGGCACGGACUUCCCGGCACCCUCUAGAGCACUAACAAGUGCACGGCGUGGACGGAGGUGCUGAGGUCCCGCCGCCCUCGGGAGCUCACAGCCGGCCAGAGAAGGGGCAGUGCCGCGGGCGGGCAGUCAGGGAGAGCGCCAGGAGCCACCUGGGUGGUCAGCGAUGACGCGUCCUCCGUGUGCCUCCCCCAGGGCAGCGCGGGGAGCACCCGGAGCACCAAGCCAGGAGCGGGCUCCGUAGCGGCGCCGAAGCAGAGCCUGCGGGAGGAGGAGCUGCGCGCGCAGCACCGGGCCGCGCUACUGCGCCUGCGCCGGAUGGCGCUGGAGGAGAUGGCACGCGCCGAGCUGGCCUGGCUCGAGCAUCUGCGAGGGUGAGUGGCUCGCAGCCGGGUCCACCCGCCCACGGGCCCCGCCUGGUAGAACUCGCCUCAUCCAAUAGCCACGCCCAUUCGCCGCACUGGCUCCACCUAUCCAAGAAGGCCCGCCCACGCAUUUGACCACGCCCCCCAUGGCCGGGCGGCCCCGUCCAGUCCUCCGUGAAUAACUGUUGAUUGUAGUAAUGAAUAGGUGUUUGCAGAAAAGGAGAUAAGGCUUUAAAGUGUCCCCAAAACAAACAGUGGACACCACCCACGGCCCUCCACAGGUCUGUGCACAGGUUUGCAGGGUACUUGUCUCUGUGCCCCUAGACUAAAAUGCCAGGAGGCUCUCCACGCUUCCCGGAGCCGAGCUGGCAAGCACUCUUGCGGAGCUUUCCUUAGGGGGAACUCAGAAGUGGGGUCCCCCGCGGUGAGAGCCCAGGCCAAGACUCCUGACAGUGCACGGGCCUAGGCUGUGGGGAGCCCCACCUGAGCCCCUCUGGCCUGGCUCCCAGAGCCGGUGGAGCUGGUGUCUGUCAGGUGGUCAGUCAUGGGUGGGUGGCUGUGGAGCCUGCCCAGCACGGGUGCCUCUCUGUGGCUUCCCACGGCCACCUGCAGGCCUGUGGAGCUGACCUUGACCUGCCGCUCCCCCAGGUGUCUGGGGAGCCCGGGCCACCGAGCCACAGGGGCUGCCGUGUGGGAGAGGACAAGGCAGGCCCUCAGCAGGCUGGAGAAGGGGCGGCAGAGUCCCAGCCCUAGAGUCAAGGCGGCCUGGGAAGCCCCCUCUGAGACAGGCCCACUGGAGGGAGCCCCAACACCACGCAGGCCUGGCAGCCCUGCCAGCCCACGAGCCCAGAGAGGCCCUGAGAAUGCGGAGGUCAUAUGCCUGGCCUCUGAGCACUGGGAGGGGACACCUGAGACGCCCUCAGAUGCCGAUGGCCACCAGCAGCCUCCGAGGCUAGCCUGGGGAGAGGACACAGCCAAGGCCAGCAGCCCGCCCGAGGACAGAGGCAGUCCUUUAGCCCAAGAGUCUUUCAUCCCCCGGCUGGACCAUCGGCACUCAGGCUUGCUGGACCCUGGACAGCUGCUGGACUCAGCCUCUCCUGCCCUCGAGGCAGAGGGAGGCGCCCCCAAAGCUCAGCCUGGGCCACAGGAGGCACCGGAGCCACCCCCAGGGGCCCCUCAGACACAGCCCAGAGCCUGCUGGCCCGGGAAGAGGCCCCCGACUCGCAUGGGUGGCUGCGCUCGCGGCUCCCAGGGGCCAGGCCUUGGACGCCCGGGAGCAGAUGGUCCUCCGGUUGCCCGGGAAGCACGUGUGGCUGAAGGAAGCACAUGCCAAGCUGGACUAGAUGGUGGCGGGAUCCCCACAGAGGAACCCCUGGAAGUGGAGAGCGGGCCGCCUGGGGCGCAGAGGACAGAGGCCUGUCAGCAGGAGGACAGCAGCAGCCCCCUGGCCGCCUCCCCAGCAGCUCCUGCAGCCCUGGAGGAGGAGGCAAGAAUGCUUGUGUACCUGGGCUCCGGGCCUGCAGCUGGGCUCCCCUUGGGGUCUGCAGGGUCCCCAGCGUCGUCCCCCAUGUCCUCAGCAGGCUCUGCGUGUGACUUGUCCUGCUCCUCCCUCCAGGAGUUUCAGAAAGCCACAGCCACCCUGGUCCAGCUUUCUGACGGCUCCCUCUCCCUGUCUGGCCCCGAGGCCGAGGGCAGCCGGGCCACAGAGCCCAGCUGGUCCGAGGAGCUGUCUGCUCACGAGGACUUUGCCCCACCCUUGUUUUGGGGGCUCCACCAGGGUGACCCUCAGCCGGGUGCUGUUCCUGGGGGUGCAGGGCCGGUGACCUGGCAGAGACCAGAAUGUGGCCAGGCUGGUGCCCUGCCUGGCUGUCCAGUGGAGGCAGCAGUGGCAGACGACUUAGUCCCAGAGCAGAGCUCCUCACAGGCCAGCUGCCCACUGCCUGCCCAAGAUGUUCGUUCUCCAAGGUCUGGGUCAGAGCUGUCAGAGGCCUCCAGCCAAAUUUGGGACGAGGACAUUGAAGAGAACCUGUCAGAACCUGGCCCGGGGGCUGAGCCCACCUCUGGCAGCUCCUCGCCUCCUGGCUUGUCCAGCUUGGAACACAGCAUGGCUGUACCUGCCUUGGGCCCCAGACAGGGACAGGAACCUUCUGGAACCAGCCGGAGCCUGAGCGGGACUUCUGCUUCUGAAGGGGCUGGCUGCCAGGAGCGGCCCCAGGCUGCUGGCCCAAGCCUGUGCUCUGAAAGGAGCCCUCCACAGGCCUCUUCAGGGCCUGAGACAGUGAUGGGGAUGAGGCCCAGCCCUGCUCCGAAGACUUCCCUUCCCCUCCCCAGGAGGCCAUGGUUCCCCAAGACUCGCUGGGCCCGCUGGAGGAAGACACUUCCAUCACCACUGAGGACGUGUCCCUGUCAGAGGAGGCCCCGAGGCAGGCUCUGUCACUGGGUCCCCAGCAGUCGGGGCUCUGCCUGGGGCUGCCUGGGCCAUGGGGAGGCCCUGAGGCGAUCUGUCUUUCUGCACCCGGCUCAUCUCGGACCCCCUGCAUAA